AAUAGAUACCCGGGUAGUCCACGCCGUAAACGUUGGGCGCUAGAUGUGGGGGCCAUUCCACGGUUUCCGCGUCGUAGCUAACGCAUUAAGCGCCCCGCCUGGGGAGUACGGCCGCAAGGCUAAAACUCAAAGGAAUUGACGGGGGCCCGCACAAGCGGCGGAGCAUGCGGAUUAAUUCGAUGCAACGCGAAGAACCUUACCAAGGCUUGACAUAUACGAGAACACUGCAGAAAUGUAGGACUCUUUGGACACUCGUAUACAGGUGGUGCAUGGUUGUCGUCAGCUCGUGUCGUGAGAUGUUGGGUUAAGUCCCGCAACGAGCGCAACCCUCGUCGCAUGUUGCCAGCACGUAAAGGUGGGAACUCAUGUGAGACUGCCGGGGUCAACUCGGAGGAAGGUGGGGAUGACGUCAAAUCAUCAUGCCCCUUAUGUCUUGGGCUUCACGCAUGCUACAAUGGCCGGUACAAAGGGCUGCAAUACCGUAAGGUGGAGCGAAUCCCAAAAAGCCGGUCUCAGUUCGGAUUGAGGU
rnacentral:rRNA from 1 species